GAUGAACGCUGGCGGCGUGCCUAAUACAUGCAAGUCGAGCGAACAGAUGAGGAGCUUGCUCCUCUGACGUUAGCGGCGGACGGGUGAGUAACACGUGGAUAACCUACCUAUAAGCCUGGGAUAACUUCGGGAAACCGGAGCUAAUACCGGAUAAUAUAUUGAACCGCAUGGUUCAAUAGUGAAAGACGGUUUUGCUGUCACUUAUAGAUGGAUCCGCGCCGCAUUAGCUAGUUGGUAAGGUAACGGCUUACCAAGGCAACGAUGCGUAGCCGACCUGAGAGAGUGAUCGGCCACACUAGAACUGAGACACGGACCAGAGUCCUGCGGGAGGCAGCAGUAGGAAAUCGUACGCAAAGGGCGAAAGCCUGGCGGAGCAACGCCGCGUGAGUGAUGAAGGUCUUCGGAACGUAAAACUGUGUUAUUAGGGAAGAACAAAUGUGUAAGUAACUAGGCACGUCUUGACGGUACCUAGUCAGAAAGCCACGGCUAACUACGUG
rnacentral:rRNA from 1 species